UGGGGAAUAUUGGACAAUGGGGGGAACCCUGAUCCAGCCAUGCCGCGUGUGUGAAGAAGGCCUUAUGGUUGUAAAGCACUUUAAGCGAGGAGGAGGGUACUGGUAUUAAUACUACCAGGUACUGGACGUUACUCGCAGAAUAAGCACCGGCUAACUCUGUGCCAGCAGCCGCUGUAAUACAGAGGGUGCGAGCGUUAAUCGGAUUUACUGGGCGUAUAGCGUGCGUAGGGGGCUGAUUAAGUCGGAUGUGAAAUCCCUGAGCUUAACUUAGGAAUUGCGUUCGAUACUGGUCAGCUAGAGUAUGGGAGAGGAUGGUAGAAAUCCAGGUGUAGCGGUGAAAUGCGUAGAGAUCGGGAGGAAGACCGAUGGCGAAGGCAGCCAUCUGGCCUAAUACUGACGCUGAGGUACGAAAGCAUGGGGAGCAAACAGG
rnacentral:rRNA from 1 species